rnacentral:rRNA from 1 species
GACAGAGGGUGCAAACGUUGUUCGGAAUUACUGGGCGUAAAGCGCGUGUAGGCGGCCAUCUAAGUCGGGCGUGAAAUCCCACGGCUCAACCGUGGAAGUGCACUCGAAACUGGAUGGCUAGAGUCCUGGAGAGGAAGGUGGAAUGCUUGGUGUAGAGGUGAAAUUCGUAGAUAUCAAGCGGAACACCGGUGGCGAAGGCGGCCUCUGGACAGUGACUGACGCUGAGACGCGAAAGCGGUGGGGAGCAAACAGGG